GUUAUGUCUCGGCUCCGGCCGCGGCCGCAGCUGAUCUACGGUUGUGGAGGGUUUUUUGAGGCCAUUGUGUGGUAUGAAACUGGCAUCUUUGCCACCCAGCUGGUGGAUCCGGUGGCGCUGAGCUUCAAGAAGCUGAAGACCAUUUUGGAGUGCCGGGGGUUGGGCUACUCAGGGUUGCCCGAGAAGAAGGAUGUCCGGGAGCUGGUGGAAAAGUCAGGUGACUUGAUGGAGGGUGAGCUCUAUUCUGCUCUCAAGGAAGAAGAAGCAUCCGAAUCGGUUUCUAGUACCAAUUUCAGUGGUGAAAUGCAUUUCUAUGAGCUUGUGGAAGACACAAAAGAUGGCAUCUGGCUGGUUCAGUUCAAAGAAGGACAUAUUUGUUCCCUACUGGCUGUGUUACAUCAUAUGGAAUUUAAAGUCACUGGAAUUGAGGUAGCAGUGAG
rnacentral:sRNA from 1 species